GGAAUGGAAAUGUGAUUGGUAUUAUUUCAGAAGAAGAAAGAUUGAAUGCUGAAAUCUGAUUAUAGUUCAGCAGAGAGAAUGAGUCUGUAUUUGUGUGAAACAUUGUAAUGUGAAUGGCAGUUUUGUGUGAAGAAUUCCAGUGAUUGGAAUGAGGGUAAUUGUAUGCAGAAAGUUGUGAGGGCGCAGUAUUAUAAUUAGAGAUUAUGAGGGUGAAUAUAUUGGUGGAUAUAGCAGUUAUUGGUAUGACUGAAUUGCUAUAAGGAAGAGACCGAUAAGG
rnacentral:lncRNA from 1 species